rnacentral:rRNA from 1 species
AUUGAACGCUGGCGGCAGGCCUAACACAUGCCAGUCGAGCGGAUGAAGGGAGCUUGCUCCUGGAUUCAGCGGCGGACGGGUGAGUAAUGCCUAGGAAUCUGCCUGGUAGUGGGGGAUAACGUCCGGAAACGGGCGCUAAUACCGCAUACGUCCUGAGGGAGAAAGUGGGGGAUCUUCGGACCUCACGCUAUCAGAUGAGCCUAGGUCGGAUUAGCUAGUAGGUGGGGUAAAGGCCUACCAAGGCGACGAUCCGUAACUGGUCUGAGAGGAUGAUCAGUCACACUGGAACUGAGACACGGUCCAGACUCCUACGGGAGGCAGCAGUGGGGAAUAUUGGACAAUGGGCGAAAGCCUGAUCCAGCCAUGCCGCGUGUGUGAAGAAGGUCUUCGGAUUGUAAAGCACUUUAAGUUGGGAGGAAGGGCAGUAAGUUAAUACCUUGCUGUUUUGACGUUACCAACAGAAUAAGCACCGGCUAACUUCGUG